UUUCCGUAGGUGAACCUGCGGAAGGAUCAUUAUUGAAUACGUUUGGUUCUGAUGCUGGCUCUACACUGAGCAUGUGCUCGACCCAUAACUAUUUAUCUUCUCUUGUGCACCUUUUGUAGUCUUUCAGAGCAAGUGAUAACUCUCGCAGCAAUGCGGUUUGGGGGACUUGGGCGUGAGCCCUUCCCCUGCGUUUGCUUCUUUGGAGGGCUAUGUUUUCAUAUACACUAUAAAGUUACAGAAUGUCUUUUAAAGAUUGUGCUAGUCGCAGUCAUUAAACCUAUACAACUUUCAGCAACGGAUCUCUUGGCUCUC
rnacentral:misc_RNA from 1 species